rnacentral:rRNA from 1 species
UACGUAGGGUCCAAGCGUUGUCCGGAUUUAUUGGGCGUAAAGAGCUCGUAGGCGGCCAACUAAGUCAGACGUGAAAUCCCUCGGCUUAACCGGGGAACUGCGUCUGAUACUGGAUGGCUUGAGAUUGGGAGAGGGAUGCGGAAUUCCAGGUGUAGCGGUGAAAUGCGUAGAUAUCUGGAGGAACACCGGUGGCGAAGGCGACAUCCUGGACCAACACUGACGCUGAGGAGCGAAAGCCAGGGGAGCAAACGGG